GUGAAUCAUCGAAUCUUUGAACGCACAUUGCACCCGGUGGUAUUCCGCCGGGUAUGCCUGUUCGAGCGUCAUGAGAACCAGUAAAAGAUACCAGGCUUCGGCCUGCUGUUGGGGAUUGCGGCUUCUGCUGCAGCCCUAUAGUACAGUGGCAAGUCCCGAUGGGUUCUAAGCGUAGUAAUUUCUCCUCGCUACAGAGCCUCCCGGCACUUUGGUACUAAGCCCAAUGUAAAUUGGCAACUCCUGCCAUAAACCCCCCCAUCUUAGGUUGACCUCGGAUCAAGUAGGGAUACCCGCUGAACUUAAGCAUAUCAAUAAGCGGAGGA
rnacentral:misc_RNA from 1 species